rnacentral:lncRNA from 1 species
CAAACACUGACCAAAUAUGCAAGGAAGGAGCUGUGUUUGUUUGUUGUCGUCCCAGACAGUGUUGUGAGGGACCUGAGGCCCUGCCCCGUGUCCGACCACCGAGUGGCAAGGUGGAAGGAAGCACAGGCACACAGACCGUGGGUGGGUCUCCUCACCGUGGCUGUGGGCAGUGCGAACACAUAACACCCUCGGGCUAAAAGUGACUCGUUGACCAAGUUGGAACCGGAAUGCUUUCUUACUCAAAAUGGCUUUUGUAACUAUUGAUUUCUGAAGCUGGUUUUAUGAGUUGUGACAGUGUUACCAGGUUGGGGGUAUGUGUUUAUUUCCUACAAAGUACUUACGGGACUAAUGGGCAAAACAGAGAUUUUUAAGUCUUCCGUAUGCUGUUUGACUUUUAUAUUUUUAAGUUAUAUUUUCAUACUAUUGUAUUUAAAAACUCUUUUUAGUCCCCAAAGAAAUGGGUUUAUUUGCCUUUCAUGGGGUGUGGGCUGGCAGGAGGAAAAAUCGGGAGUUUUUUAUUUGGAAUAUUAUUAGAUGAUGCCCUAUGAUAAGAUGAGACAAAUGAUGGGGAGGGAAGGAGGAUGGCCCUUCUCUAGAAUCAGCAAACCCAAUGGUUCUGUGAAGGUCAGACCCAAGCUUGGAGCAGCUGGUCUGGAUGCAGAUCCAGGAGCUGCAGAGUGUGGAACAGGAAAGGCUCUGCCCAGGGCCCAUGAGCUCUAGCAUUCCUGCUGGCAGAUUAGAGAUCUUAGUUAAAUUUGACCAAGAAAGGAGCUUAGCUAAGAGGUCUUUGUUUCCAGAGGACCCAAGACUACCAGACUCCUGUGCAGUCUGCCUGUCUGCAGAGCCUCCAAUCACGGUUUAAAGUGGUCUUGGCCUCCCAGCCCCCACUGCUGCAGCCUUCAGAGCCAGCCUCUGGACUCAGCGCCAGGAGCCUCCUCUCCUGCUGCCCUGGUACCUGUCAUCCUAGUGUCACCUAUUUGUUUUGCACAGCAUUCUGGAGAACAUGUGCCUCACAAAGUGAUCCUGUUUUUCUCACCCUCCAAAGCUGAGGUGGCUAAGGGAGGCAGGGGUGAGAGAGCUCACUCUCUAAACCACAGGCAGGGCAAGGUGCUUCUAGGCCGUGUCCCCUCCCUGGGGAAUGGUCACUACUCCUCAGCAUGGCCACAGGCCCCUGUGGUUUUGGGAGUUUGCUGAGUGACUGUGGAAUGGGCUGACCCCAGCCGUUUCCCUGCUGUGGAAACAGCAAGGUAGGGGCACUGCUUGGUGGUUUGUCAAGCUCAGAGGCAGCCACGGAUGGUUAGGAACAGGAAGCCACACUGCUAAGGUGUGAUGAGCUAGAAGGGAGACAUCCUGGACUUCAAGUGAGACAAGUGCAGAGGAGGCCACUCCACUUAGGACCUUCCUUUUAGACCUGCAUGAGCACGUGUUUCACUUAAGCACAUUGGGUCCGAAUUGGGCGCAUGAACCCAGCUGUUAAACCAGGUACCCUGGGACUGCCCUCUGCCUCUCAGAGCCCUACCUGUCCUGGACUUGAAGGCGAGCAUCAGGCAGGCCUUCUCAGCCCAUCUUCCACCAGGAGUGCAGAGCCAGGGUGCUGAGAGGAGCAGGGACUGUAACUACAGUAGGAGGCAACUUUGCUGGUGUCAUUCCUGCUCGGAUUGACUUUGUGCUCCCUCCCAUCCACAGCUAUGGUAGCCAGUAUUUCCCCAGCAGCUCUCUAGUGGGGAAGAGUGGCUAGAACCAGGCCAUUCUCAGUCGAAUUUAGGAAGACCAAGACUCAUGUUCCUGACAGGACGGUCAUUCCCUCAUGGCAUCACUGACUCAGUUCUAAUUCCUCCCCUCCUGUUUCAUUUUGGUUUGAACAACCUGUGCCUGCAGCUGUUUCUUCCACCUUCCUGGAGCUCACAAUUGGAGCUUCAUGUUCAGUCUUGAGCUCCUAAUGUUUCCAGACAGGGCAGGGGAUAGGAGAGCCAUAAUCUAUGAAAGCUGUGAAACAAACCCUGGGUUAUAUAGAUCUCAGAUGGUCUCAUCUGAAGGCUUUGCCCACUUCCCAGUGAGCAGAGGGUUUGGGGAACAAAGAGGUAGCUGAAGAGUGGUGGUUUUUCCCUGUAUCCUGAUUUUCAGAAAGGGCUUUAGUCUCUGAGCUGUGGCUAGUAGCUGGCUGGCUGACCAGGGGACGGGGGUCUAAUAGGGUGUCUGACCAUAGGACACCUCUCGUGUUUGGCCUUCCCUUUCUUGUGUGUUUGUGUGUGUGUGUGCACGUGCACGUGCACACACAUGUACACACACAAAUCUGUAUCCCCAGGAGUGCCUCCUGCAGUCACUGGGGGCUCUUCCGUGGUGCACCAUCCCAUGAGAGCAGAUCAGAGGGCUGUGGUCAGGACUUCCUCCCGAGCUGCCCUCCCUCCCUGGGAUGAGUUUCCUCUCCACCUGCUCCAAGGUGCCUUACGAGGUGCAGCUCUUCACCUGGCCACAUGGCAUCCAUCACCGUGUUGAGAAAUGGUGGGACGUUGGCUGGAUAUUGUGUGCUAUGAAUCUGAUUUGUCCAAAUCUGGACCUCAGCCAAGCCACCUGUGGUGGAACCUUGCAAGUCAAGGUCAUGAACAAAUUUCUUGUAACUAUUGGAAAUAAACUAAUGAGGUAGAACUGUCAUAUCCAAAUGGAAGAGGUGGUUGGUACUGUUACUUCCUUUUGCUGUCAGAGGGUUGUUGACAAUGGCAAGGGGGGAUGUUAGUGAGAUCCAGGUGGUGGUGGCUUCUUGGUCCACUCAGCUUGCACACAUGCAAGAGGAGGGUCUGUGGCCCCUCAGCCGUGCUGGUGGCCUCCUUCCUCAAGCUUUAACUUGUGCCCUCCCUGGCAACAGGGAGUCAUGGGUUAAUGUCACCUGUCAUGCCUCUUUCUUCAGGGAAAAUAUUAAAAGGCUCAAAUCCAAGCUGUGACUUCCCUUAGACAGUGUAAGCCUGUAGGGUGCAGCCCCAAGUUUAUGUCCAAAGGCUGCCUCAGAACCCUGGAGGGAGCAGCGCCCAGCUGGCAGCUCACUCUGCCCUUGCAGUUCACUGGCCUUUUCGCAGCCAGGCUAAGAUAGGCAGUGCAAGGAGCUUCCCACUGGCCAGAGCAGCUGCCUUGUAGAAUGUGGGGCUGGCUUUUAGAAGUUUCACACGCUUGCAGCUAAGAGUGCAGAGCUCUCUGUUUUACUUCGUGAAACAUUAGCAGCUCUGAGGGGCUUGGCUUUUGGUAAGGGACUUAUGGUCUGACUUGCCACAAGCACCUUGAGCUCCUGGGUUGGUUGGUGGUUGGUUGGUUGGGUUGUUUUAAAUUUGAUUUUUCUUUUCCUGAAGUUUGUUAGAAGUCAGACCUAUGCAAGGAAAACCAUGGCCCACUUCAGCAGCCAUCCAGUGGGGGUGCUUAAUCGGUGGUGGUAGGAUUCAUGGAAACGUUUUUUUGAAAUGAAAGAGAAGAUGAUGUACUUACAUUGUAAAAUGGUUUACAAUAAAGUUUGGCAUCUUAUUACAGUUUUUUUUAAAAAGAAACCAUCACAUUUGUGGUUGUGGUUGUGGGUUCUCUGGAGUUGAAACAGCUUGGCAGGGUCAAAAAAGAUUCCCCUGUGAAUUAGAAGGUUCUCCCCAGGGACCAGAGUGAGAAGGAACCUUACGAAGCCUCAUGGCAGGAGUGGGAGCCAGCAACUGCCCAGUGAAAAGCCAAACAUGCUCUUGCCAUGUCCAUCUCCACUUCUUCGCUAGUGAGAAUUAAAGCAAGUCCGUCUCUGAGGAGGACAUCGUGUUGGGGAGGUAGAGUAUAAGCAGUGAGUAGCCCACAUCCUUGUCCCUGAGGCUGCGGGGCUGGAAGGAGGUCCCUGGGCAGAGCCGCAGCAUCAGGUGCCAUCUGCAGGGGCACCCCUGGAACUAGUGGAAGGCCCCCACAAGGCCUGGCCUGCCCUCAGCUGCCUCUUGGCCCAUGUGCCACAUCCUGGGCAUUCCUCAUGUCAGCACUUGUCUCAGAUCAAGCCUGGCAGUCCUCUCAUUGGCCUCCUGGAGCCAGGGUGUCAGGAGGGGGAUUGGGGUGGGGUUCAAAGUAUGACAGCAAUGGAGUGGCAUUUGGGAUAACCAAAUGUCAGUGCCUGGUUGAGUUCCAUCUGCCUGGAGCCUUCGAGGAUAAAAAUAAUCUCCAUCAUAAACUGAAAAGGACUUAGAUAUGUGUGUUACUGGGAGGGCUGCGACCUAUGCACACCUAUUCCCCAUACCCACCCCAGGCGUAGGCUCCUGGCCUGUGCCCUGGGGGAUCUUCCCCUUGCAAGGAGGGGUGUGUUAGGAGCUUCUAGCAAAGGAGAGCUAAGUGACCUUCCGGGGAGCCCUUGGGCCUGUUCUUGUCUCUGCAGCUCAGUAUCUGGAGUGGGCUUCACUCUCCCCCACCCUCUUUGAGCAACUGAAACUGUCCUGCAGGCCAGCCCCCCUGCGGUGGCCUCACCUACUCGGAGGACCCAAAUCCGUAAACACAAAGCAUGUCCGUCAGUGCCAGCACCUCCCCCCGGCGAAUCAAGCAGCUGUCCCAGAGGGCAAAGGGUCUCUGCAGCCAUCUGCUUUCAUCAGGGCUGCAGCCCCCAGGCAGCAGUACUGGGAGCCCCUCUCAUCUCCGAGAAUAAACUCUGAAGCCAGCGACCCUGCGGACCUGAAUCAUCAGGGAGCCUGUCAGAGGAGGGGCAGUGACUCUGCGGGACAAGCAAGCAGGCUAUAUAAGUUUCAGAAGGCUGGGCUCCACUCAGAUCUUUUCCAGCAGCUGCUGCCUGCCAGAGAGGCGCCUUCAGAGACCCAGCGCUUACACAAUACCCACCAUGUCCCAGGCUGGUGCUCAGGAAGCCCCUAUCAAGAAGAAGCGCCCCCCUGUGAAGGACGAGGACCUGAAGGGGGCCCGAGGAAACCUGACCAAGAACCAGGAAAUCAAGUCCAAGACCUACCAGGUCAUGCGAGAGUGUGAGCAAGCUGGCUCGGCCGCCCCGUCGGUGUUCAGCCGCACCCGCACAGGUACCGAGACUGUCUUUGAGAAGCCCAAAGCCGGACCCACCAAGAGUGUCUUCGGCUGAGAAGUGUGCGCCACUCCCCUUGCUGCCCGAAUGCUCGGAAACAGGAGCCUUUCCCAGGAACUCUUUUUUAUGCCAGAACGCUUCCUCUCCCCUGCUGUCUCUGGGGCUGCCACCCUCCCCCACAGUCCAGGCCCUUCAGCCAAGGGCUCUGCACCAGCACCUUGGAAGCACCAAUAAAGAGGAUGCCCACGUGGCCCCAGCAA